CAUGCAAGUCGAGCGAGAAACCAAUUAGCUUGCUAAGAGGUGGACAGCGGCGAAAGGGAGAGUAACGCGUGGUUACGUGCCCUCGGGACCGGGAUAGUGUUGGGAAACUGGCAGUAAUACCGGAUAACAUCUAUUGAUCAAAUGGUGUGAUUCCGCCCGAGGAUCGGACCGCGUACUAUUAGCUUGUUGACGGGGUAACGGCCCACCAAGGCUGCGAUGGUUACCGGGUGCGAGAGCAUGGCCCGGCUCACUGGGACUGAGACACUGCCCAGACAUCUACGGAUGGCUGCAGUCGAGAAUCUUCGGCAAUGGACGAAAGUCUGACCGAGCGACGCCGCGUGCGGGAUGAAGGCCCUCGGGUUGUAAACCGCUGUCAGUUGGGAGGAAAUUCAUGGGGGUUAUCCCUCAUGAUUGACCGAGCUUCAGAGGAAGGACGGGCUAAGUUCGUGCCAGCAGCCGCGGUAACACGAACCGUCCAAACGUUAUUCGGUAUCACUGGGCUUAAAGCGUGCGUAGGCGGCUUGGUAGGUGAGAUGUGAAAUCCCACGGCUCAACCGUGGAAUUGCGUUUCAAACCCCCAAGCUCGAGGAAGAUAGGGGUGAUGGGAACUUAUGGUGGAGCGGUGAAAUGCGUUGAUAUCAUAGGGAACACCGGUGGCGAAAGCGCAUCACUGGAUCUUUUCUGACGCUGAGGCACGAAAGCUAGGGUAGCGAACGGGAUUAGAUACCCCGGUAGUCCUAGCCGUAAACGAUGAGCACUGGGCUGAGGAAACUAUCACAUUUUCUCGGCCGUAGCGAAAGCGUUAAGUGCUCCGCCUGGGGAGUAUGGUCGCAAGGCAA
rnacentral:rRNA from 1 species